rnacentral:rRNA from 1 species
UACGUAGGUGGCAAGCGUUGUCCGGAUUUACUGGGCGUAAAGAGCGCGCAGGCGGUCGUUCAAGUCGAGUGUGAAAGCCCCCGGCUCAACUGGGGAGGGUCACUCGAUACUGAUCGACUCGAAGGCAGAAGAGGGAAGCGGAAUUCCCGGUGUAGUGGUGAAAUGCGUAGAUAUCGGGAGGAACACCAGUGGCGAAGGCGAGUCCCUGGACAACACCUGACACUGAGGCACGAAAGCUAGGGGAGCAAACAGG